rnacentral:rRNA from 1 species
AUUGAACGCUGGCGGCAGGCCUAACACAUGCGAGUCGAGCGGAUGAAGGGAGCUUGCUCCUGGAUUCAGCGGCGGACGGGUGAGUAAUGCCUAGGAAUCUGCCUGGUAGUGGGGGAUAACGUCCGGAAACGGGCGCUAAUACCGCAUACGUCCUGAGGGAGAAAGUGGGGGAUCUUCGGACCUCACGCUAUCAGAUGAGCCUAGAUCGGAUUAGCUAGUUGGUGGGGUAAAGGCCUACCAAGGCGACGAUCCGUAACUGGUCUGAGAGGAUGAUCAGUCACACUGGAACUGAGACACGGUCCAGACUCCUACGGGAGGCAGCAGUGGGGAAUAUUGGACAAUGGGCGAAAGCCUGAUCCAGCCAUGCCGCGUGUGUGAAGAAGGUCUUCGGAUUGUAAAGCACUUUAAGUUGGGAGGAAGGGCAGUAAGUUAAUACCUUGCUGUUUUGACGUUACCAACAGAAUAAGCACCGGCUAACUUCGUG